rnacentral:rRNA from 1 species
CACGUAGGGCGCAAGCGUUGUCCGGAAUUAUUGGGCGUAAAGAGCGCGUAGGCGGUCCGAUAAGUCGGCUGUGAAAGUCAGGGGCUCAACCCUUGAAAGCCGGCCGAUACUGUCGGACUAGAGUCCGGAAGAGGCAAGUGGAAUUCCCGGUGUAGCGGUGAAAUGCGCAGAUAUCGGGAGGAACACCAAUGGCGAAGGCAGCUUGCUGGGACGGUACUGACGCUGAGGCGCGAAAGCGUGGGGAGCAAACAGG